GAUGAACGCUAGCGGCAGGCUUAAUACAUGCAAGUCGAGGGGCAGCGCAGUGUAGCAAUACAUGGGCGGCGACCGGCAAACGGGUGCGGAACACGUACGCAACCUUCCUUUAAGUGGGGGAUAGCCCAGGGAAACUUGGAUUAAUACCCCGUAAUAUUAUGAAGUGGCAUCACUUUAUACUUAUAGCUCCGGCGCUUAAAGAUGGGCGUGCGACUGAUUAGGUAGUUGGCGGGGUAACGGCCCACCAAGCCUGCGAUCAGUAACUGGUGUGAGAGCACGACCAGUAACACGGGCACUGAGACACGGGCCCGACUCCUACGGGAGGCAGCAGUAAGGAAUAUUGGUCAAUGGACGCAAGUCUGAACCAGCCAUGCCGCGUGGAGGAUGAAGGUCCUCUGGAUUGUAAACUUCUUUUAUUUGGGAAGAAACCCACUGUUUCUACGGUGGUUGACGGUACCAGAUGAAUAAGCACCGGCUAACUCCGUGCCAGCCGCCGCAGUAAUAC
rnacentral:rRNA from 1 species